rnacentral:rRNA from 1 species
GACGAACGCUGGCGGCGUGCCUAAUACAUGCAAGUCGAACGCAGUGGGGACGGGUGAGUAACACGUGGGUAACCUCCCAUCAGAGGGGAUAACACUUGGAAACAGGGGCUAAUCCGAUACUGAUGGAUGAACCCGCGGUGCAUGAGCCAGUUGGUGGGGGAACGGCUCACCAAGGCCACGAUGCAUAGCCGACCUGCGAGGGUGAUCGGCCACACUGGGACUGCGACACGGCCCAGACUCCUACGGGAGGCAGCAGUAGGGAAGCUUCGGCAAUGGACGAAAGUCUGACCGAGCGACGCCGCGUGAGUGAGGAAGGUUUUCGGAUCGUAAAACUCUGUUGUUAGAGAAGCGGUAUCUAACCAGAAAGCCACGGCUAACUCCGUGCCAGCAGCCGCGGUAAUUC